rnacentral:rRNA from 1 species
AGUGAACGCUGGCGGUAGGCCUAACACAUGCAAGUCGAACGGCAGCACAGUAAGAGCUUGCUCUUACGGGUGGCGAGUGGCGGACGGGUGAGGAAUACAUCGGAAUCUACUUUUUCGUGGGGGAUAACGUAGGGAAACUUACGCUAAUACCGCAUACGACCUACGGGUGAAAGCAGUGGAUCUUCGGACCUUGCGCGAUUGAAUGAGCCGAUGUCGGAUUAGCUAGUUGGCGGGGUAAAGGCCCACCAAGGCGACGAUCCGUAGCUGGUCUGAGAGGAUGGUCAGCCACACUGGAACUGAGACACGGUCCAGACUCCUACGGGAGGCAGCAGUGGGGAAUAUUGGACAAUGGGCGCAAGCCUGAUACAGCCAUACCGCGUGGGUGAAGAAGGCCUUCGGGUUGUAAAGCCCUUUUGUUGGGAAAGAAAAGCAGCAGGUUAAUACCCCGCUGUUCUGACGGUACCCAAAGAAUAAGCACCGGCUAACUUCGUG